UGUCGACUGAGGUACGUGCUGCCGUUCCGUACCACUGUAAGUGACCUGGCUUUUGCACGGAGGUCUGUUUCGUGUCGGACGACAAUCGGAUAAAAUACGUUCUCGGCGUGUAGCUUUAGCUAAACACGUAAAUUCUGUGUAAAAUUUCAAGACGUACAGUUCAACAUGUACAGUGUAUACAUUGUUAUUGAUACAGAUACAGGUACGUUACCGAAAUAUUAUAAAAUAUAUUUAGUAAUAAAUAGGGUGCGGGUGUUUUUAUGCACUCAAAAUAACUGUAAUAUGUAUGCAUUUAAGUGCUAAAAAAUAACCAAAUAUGCACUCAUCAUUAUGUUGUUAAAGCUACGUAUAGUAGUAACUAUAAUAUAAUAGUAAUGCAAUAUAUUUGUUUUAUAAUUAAAAACCGCAAAAAAUACGAACAUGUUACGGAAUUCUCCGCCGGGAAUCGAACCUAACAACUACAACAUCUAACGAUCUAACCACUAGACUGCUUAUCUAACUAUUGAUAACCGAUAUCGUUCCAUAAGUUUAUAAGUUAUAAAGUCAAUUUCGUAGUAUCUAAAUAGUUUACGUUUACCUUUAAUCCUCACUCUUCCGUUAACAAGGGAAGUAAGUGGUUGGAAAGAGAUGGUGUUUUACUACCCCUCCCCGAAAAAUAAACUAACCAAGUAUUACCUUACAUUGUUAUACAGUUUUUACACUUAAGUUAAUUAUUCCAUGCAAUAAAAAUAUUAUAAUGUAUCACAUUUUAUUUUAAUUACAUAAAUGUUAGUCCGAAUACGUUAAUAGUUUACACUAAAGAGUCCAGAUAAUAGGAGAGAGGCCAACCCGGUGGACGUUUUCUAUUGGUCGGCUGUUAUCACAGCUUAUUUUCUGUUCAAAUAAUUUGAUGGAGUAUAGUAAUUUUGUAUAUUGUUGUGUAUAAUUCACUCAUUUUCUGAACAUUUUUUCCUUAUUUUCUUAUAAAUAAAUAAAAUAAAUAUUGUAUAGUACAUCUUACAUAAAAAAAUCGUAUGAUAUUGCCCGCUUGCUGUUCAUUUGAUUGCCAAAAUCGGUUAAGACUCGGUGGAUAAAAUUAUGGACUUUUAAAAUAUGUAUACCUGGCUGAAAUUCACUUCAAAUUGUUUUUCGUAAGUAAUGAUUUAUCGUUGUUUGCAGAUACCAAUAACUUUCCCUGUAUAUCUUACCUUCACAACUUCUCAUAUAGAAUAGUGAUCUACCCAUUGUGGGUCCGUGGAGUACCUCUGUCUUUUUCAUAUUGGAGUUCAAAAUUGUAUAAAAAUAUUAGUCAUACUUGGUUUAUAUACUUUAUUUACAUAAUAAUUAUAUAAAUAAGAAAUAAAUAAUAAAUUUAAUAAAUUAUAAUUAUAAAUAUAAGUAUAAUAAAUAAUUAUUAUUAUUAUUUUCGCAAACAAAUAAAUAAAUAAUUAAUAAUAAAAUCUCUAAAACUAACAUUUUCAGUUGAGGUAAACUAUUUAUGUAUGUAUAUUUAAUAUUUAUAAUAUUCAAUAUAAUUAUAAUAUAUCAUAUUCAAAAUAUGAUCAUUUCAUAAGAAUUUAUAUUCAAACAUUAAAAAAGGCGGGACAAUUUUGGACGAAAAAUAACUGCGAUACAAAUACUCAAAUGGCCACUCUCUUAUUAUAUGGGCUCUCAAGUUUACACUACUUAAUAUAAAAUUUUAUUUUAUCGUAAUAUUUUUAAUUUUAUGAGUUUUUGACCGUUACAAAGAACAUAAUAAUUGCAUACCCAUUUAAUAUUAUCAUAAUUUAUGAUAGGUUGGAAACGAGAUGUACAUUCACGGCCGAUCGCAAAACAAUACACAAAUAUUUCAACUAUAUUUAUUAGGUAAUUCAAACAUUUAUAAAUAUGCAGUAAUAUAAAAUAUAGUGAACAUUACCAUGACAAACAAAUAUAAUUAUAAACUCAUAGUAAUAAUAUCAUUUUAUUUACCAAUUAAAUAUUUACUUUAUUUUGUUCAACUAUAAUUUUUUAGUAAUAUUUUUUUCUGCGUGUCCUAAAUAGAAUACAAAAACAGACGUCAUAGGCUAAUAGAGGACGGGUGCAACCACUGUUCUAGGUAAUUUAAUGUAUAUCUGUAAGCAACGAUAAACCAUUGCUAACGAAAAAACGAUUCUGAGGGCAGUUCAGUUGAUAGUGAUGCUUUGUCAACAAUAUAUAUAUGUCAUAUUAUGGUAAAAUUAAUAAAUAGGCACUAUAUUUUCUAUAAUAAUAUUUGUUUAAUAUUAUAAAACAAAUACUACAUUAAGCUCAUUUUUUUUUUUUUUUUUACCACAAAGUAAGAUUUAAUGGACCUCCUGUUAAAUUUUCAAAUAUUUCUGCUAAGUCUAACAAUUUUACCACACCAGUACCUCACGAAUAAAAAUUACAUACAAAACUAGCAAAAUUAAAAUGUCUAUUAAUAGCUCAAAAAUGGCUUAAAUUUUUUGACCACUCUAGAAAAGGCAAAUAUCAAUUUUCUGUUCGAAUUUCAAGUCACUACAAAUAUAUUUAACUGAAUGACAACAAAAAAACAAAAUUUAAAAAUAAUAAAAGCAGUAAGUUUGUACAUUUCCCGUUUUUCUUACGUUUUAUCCAAGUUUUUCCCAGAUAUUAUGAAAACCACUUGGAAAAUCAAAAAAAUGACCCAUUUAAAGUACCAUCUGGAUAACAUUCCCUUUCAGAAAUGGUGAUGCGCGUAUAUAUCUAAGCAAGAUUUAUGGUCGAAUUUUUUUAACACAGGAUAAAAAAAAAAAAAAACAUCUUAGUAAAACCAAUACAUUCUUUGCUACACUCAAAAUUUAAAAUGAUUAAACUAGAGGUACUUAUGUUAUUACUUAUUGCUUUACAAUGAACGGUGACGUAAUUUCGAUUAAUUGCAUAAGUUAUUAUCUGUGCAGAAGAUAAGACAAAAAAUAAAUACGAUCAUUAAUAUUCCAUACCUAUAAUUUUUUUUUCUAAUGAACAUACAUAUAAUAUAUCUAAUAAUUCAUUAUUAUUAUUUAUUAGUUAUAAUUAUGUUUUAUAAUCUAUGUAUCUAUAUUUGUUUAUAAACUCAAGUUCAUAUAUGUUAAAACAAAGAAAAAAAUGUAAGAUAAAUAAUUGUAAAGAAUUCACUAUGGUAAAUUCGUCUGUUAUUUUAUUUUAUAUUUUAACGUUAUAAACGUACAAAAACGUGUCGCAUUGAAAAACCGCAUAACCGCAAUGUAUAAUACGCAAAUUUGUCAUUGCAAAGUUGACUAAAUUCCAAAUGUAUUUCGUUUCCAGAGCCAAAUCUCAUUAAUAUAAGAUGCUUAGAAAAGUCCGUUACAUACAUCUCGAUUCAACUCUUUACUUAUAAAUUAUAAAUAAGUAAUAUAAAUUAUGGUCACAAUAGAUACAGAUAUAAAUCAGUCACAUUUGUCGCAUGCGUUAAGCUAAAUAAUUUAUUUAAUAGUUCGAUGGUUGCAGGGAGAGGGCACUAAUUUAGUCUCAGAUUUCCCCAAAACAGUCAUCAUUACAUAUCUUAUCGGUUCCUACUGUUAAUAUUCAAUACUUACGUCAACAAUGAUCGUACAAUAUCAAGUUAAUAAUCAUAAGUGCAAACAAAGAGGAAUUUUGGAUGUUAAGCUCCUCCAAAAAUGUCAAUAAUUCCCCCGAAACUCGUUCUGUUAUUUUUUUUUUUAUAAUCAUUGAAUUGAAUAUUUCUAAAUGUAAAAUAUAAAUUAAUAAAUUAAUAAUAACAAUACCGAAGCAUUUGUGUGUAUGUAAUACAUAUUGUAUGUUACGGUAAGUAAUUCUGAGUAUACCAAACUAUUAUAAACUAUAAGUUAGAAUAGUGUAAAAAUUUGUAGUAAGUUUUAUUGUUCAAUUAUAUAUUAAUUAGGCAAACGUGUAUAAUAUUUGAAACCGAGCGUAUCGUGUGGAAAUUGUUUAGGGGUGUACACUUCAAAACAACACCCCAGUUCUGGUCUGUAGUUUGGACUUCAGCCUCCUCAAAUCUCGAACGCUAUUUGCGCCCAUGGUAAUAAUAGUGUACUUACUUGCUUUAUUCUGUAGAAAUAAAUCAGUAUAAUAUGUGUUAUUUAUCUAACCCUAGAGGCCCUAGGAUCGAGGCAGCUUUUAUUUACCUGGUAGACCGUAACUUAAGUCGUUUAAAAAUUUAACUACUCGGGUAAUAAAGUAUUCAAAUACAGUGCACUCCUCUGGUUAUUACCCUAUGAUGUAUACAAAUGAUAAUACAAAAGAAAAAAAAGGCCAACAAUGCCGAUAGGUGUACCACUGUUUUAAGAGGGAAAUGGAAGGGCGGAUACAUAGAGAAAAUUAAUUUAUAUCUAUACGCAAGGAUCAACCAUCGCGAACGAUUAGAACUAUUAACGAUUCUGAGCAGAGUGUUAUUCGUAUUUUUUCCUUGUUUUCAAGGUCACCCAGAAAUCAAUAAAAUAAAAAUAUGAAAUAUGUAGUGUUUCCCAUUUAUUACGAAAACUACAAGGAAAAUCAAAAGACCGACCUCUUUAACGACCGACUAGAUAAAAAAAAAAAAAAAAAUGCUACAAGCAAAUUUCUAUAAAGUUUUUUAUUGGAGCAAAAUAAAAAUGAUAAUAAAGUUGUUUAUAGAUACAACAUUUUACAUACUAUUUCGCUUCUGUCAAAAUCUAAAAAAUGUCUCUCAACAUGCAUUAUACAUUUCGGUUUUCAUUAGGGAUAUAGACGACCUUUUGUAAUUCUAUUUAAACUUCAUUAGAUUAAUAGGGUUGUUGUUGUUAUCAAACGUCACGAAAACUAUUUAUCAAGAGCGUAAUUUUUGACCAUUAGUUAAACAGGGUGUGUAUAGCUUUCACUAUUUAUUUUUAUAGCAGCCGAAUUAUUUCCGGGUGAUUAAAAACCCGCGUAAGCUGUGAUUUCUAUUCAGAGUUUUUUGAACACGGUGUCAUAAUUGCUUUUAAAUAAAUUUAAAGUAAAAAGCAAAUAAAAAUUGUACUACAAUACACUAUAUAUAUAUGAUGAUUUUUUUUUUUAUCAUAAAUUUUGAAUUUUUUUUCCUAAUAAUUAUAAUAAUUAUAUGCGAUAUAAUAUAUAAUAAUAUAAUAAUAUGAUUGUAUUAUUUUUAGUAGUAUGUAUUCUUAAAAUUCCACCCUUAUAUUCUAUACUGCAUAAUAAAACUAAUUUAAAAAUUAUACCAACCCUGAUCAUUUUUAAUUCACAGCAUAUUAUUAUAGGGUUAUAUCAACAAUAAUAACACAAUCUUAAAUUUCCAAUACAAACAAUGGUCCGUUUAGUACGAUCAUUAAUAUUUUUAUAAGUUUAUAACCAAUGGUAUUAUACUAUUGUCUACACUCGGAUAUCAAGACAUAAAUCAUAAACAUUUUGUAAGUGUCAUCGAUAAUAAAUCAUGUGAUAUAUACGCGUGUGGGUAAGCAAUUUUGAGUUUAACGUAUCGACUUUUAAAUAUAGAUAAUUUUGAUGUUAGAUGUCAAAGAAGAAGUAUUUAUUUGUGUCGUAAAAUAAUUUUUUUCUAAACAUUUAUUAACAUAUUCCUGUUUUACAAUGAUUUAUGACAGUAUUAUACACCAGUACUGAGCAAUACUUUUACCAAUCCGGAAUCAAGAUUACAAUUACAUAAUCCGGAUUUGGAUUUAAUCAGUUUAAUCUGGAUUCUCGAAUCCAAUUCGGAUUUCGGAGUUAAUACAGAUGUCGGAUCAAUCAAUUAAUUUGAAUAAAAUGGACUUAAUACUAAACAAAAUUAUUUAAAAAAAAACCCCGAUUGUGUUUAAAAAAAUCAACUGAAAAGCAAAAAAAGAUUUUAUAAGAUAAUGAGGACAGAUUCAGCACUACACUUAGAAAUCCGAGCAAGUCCUCUAGUAGAAAAGUUGUUAACAGAUAAAAAAAAAAUAAUAAAUAAAUAAACAUCUUUGUAAAUCCAUAAGCUUCUUCACUCUACUCAGAAUCUAAAAUAAAUUAUAUAUAUAAUCAAAAGAAAUUUGUAAGACCGAAAAUUAUUUUCACCACUCGGACUAUUAGCUAGUACCAACUUGCAAUACCUUUUUCAAUAUUUGAUCAUAUAAAUUUCUAUUAGUUAUAAAAAAACCCUUGUUAUUAUUAACAAAGGUUGUUUUUCGUGUCACAGCACACAAAACACGUAUAUUUCAAAAUUUCAAAUAUAAAUUGUAAAUAUUAUACCAUUUUAGGUGCAUAAUAAAUAACAAUACUCGCAGCAUUUAAAAAUAAACUAUUUUAUAUAUUCAUAAUCUGGAUUGGUACUUUCAAUCCGGAUUAAAAUCAAUCUAGAUUUGAUGCUCAGAACUAAAAUGUACCUUAUCAGGUUUUUCGCUGUUUGUAAAUAUUCAUUUUUUUUGAUUUACUUAUCGUUUUCGUUGCAGUUUAAAUUGGCACCCAUAUCGCAACAAAAAUUUUAUGAUCGCGGAAGACUAUGGUGGUGAGAUUAGAAAUUGCUUAAACUUCGCAUCUCAAACAAAUAACGG